rnacentral:rRNA from 1 species
UACGUAGGCAGCGAGCGUUGUUCGGAGUUACUGGGCGUAAAGCGUGCGUAGGCGGUGUCUUAAGUUUGUUGUGAAAUCUCCCGGCUUAACCGGGAGGGUGCGGCGAAUACUGAGAUGCUGGAGUGCGGGAGAGGUAAGCGGAAUUCCUGGUGUAGCGGUGAAAUGCGUAGAUAUCAGGAGGAACACCGAUUGCGAAGGCAGCUCGCUGGGACGUUACUGACGCUGAGACGCGAAAGCGUGGGGAGCAAACAGG